ACCUUUUGUUCCACUUCCGGAAAAGGCACACAGGGAUUCACAGCAACAGGCUGUGACAGAGCUACAGCAGUACAGGCAACAGUAAACACCACGUAUCAAACAUUUUGGCUUUGGUUGGAAAAAUGACCAUGACAGAUUUGGAUCCAACUUUUAUCAAAGCCUUGAGGUUGCUGCACUCUAAAAGCAAAGACUCAGCUGAUCAACUGAAACAAAUGUUGGACGAUGUGCUCCAUUCAAAAAAAGGUCAAAAGGGAAGUGCAAGUUCUGACACCAGAACUUCCUCAAAAUCUUCACACAAGGAUAAGGAGGAAAGCAAGUCCAAAAAACGAGAAGCUGAAAAGAGGAGCAUUGAUAAGGUAAAGCAGGAAAACUUGGAAGUGCCCCAGGAAACUCCACCCAAAAAACCUCGUAAUGAGUCUCCCAAGCGCCAAAUCACUCCAGCGAGCGAAGAAGAGGUGAAAAGUAGAGAAGCGAAACCGGAACCUGCAGAAAAACCCCCAAACAAGGACAAGGAAGAAAAAGAGAGGUCAAAGAAAGAGGAGGAAAAGAAAACAAAACAAGAAAAGGAGGAGAAAGCGAAAGUAAAAGAAGACAGUAAAGGUUCAGGGGACAGCGGUGAUGAAUUCAACGAUUUUGCUAUUGGGCUGGACAUUGCAUGUGUCGUGUGCAAAUCCUUUGAUGUAAAGACUGGAAAUCAGUUGGUUGAGUGUCAGGAAUGCCACCACCUUUAUCAUCAGAGUUUGUACGUUGUAGGAAUGUCACAAGCCUCCAGUGACAGAGCAGGAUGUUCAUGAUCCCAGAUUUGUGUGGUACUGCUAUAAAUGUACCAAGAGUCUCAAGAAAAUGGCGAACAAACCAAGCAAAAACAAAUCAGAUGAUUCAAAAGAAAAAGUCCGUCCCUCUAGUUCCAAAUCCAGUUCAAGUUCAAACAAAAAUGAUCCAGCCGGACUUUUCAACUUCAGGAAGGUUUCAACUUCUAGCAAUAAUUCUAACAACUCAGGAGCUAAACCUUUGAGUGGUCUUGCUAGUUUAGCAGCAAAACCUACAAGUGGAUUAGGAGGUGUAGCUGCAAAACCCAUGAGUGGACUAGCAAGCCUCGCUGCAAAUCUCUCUGGAAAGACGGAACAAGCAAAAGCACCGAAAUCAGAGCCCGGCAAAUCUCCAAAAUCUGACCAAUCAAAACCUUCCUCUGGAAAAUCGGAUCAGUCACGCUCAGGCAAACCAGAAAUACAAAGGUCAAACUCGGUCUCGUCAAAGCCAGAGUCAUGGAAACAAAAGACAGAACAGUCAUCUGAAAAGUCCAAACUUAGUUCUACGUACAAAACGAGCUCAAAAUCAGAAGACUCUAAAUCUAAAUCAUUGUCGGAAACAUCAAAAUCAAAGAGUUCAGAAUCCGGAAAGUCCAAAUCAACAGUAGAUCCUGCAAAGGUAGAAGCCUUUAAGGCAAAGGCAGCAGGAGGAGAGUCCUCAAAGUCCAGGUCGUCCCCCAACGCAUCAUUCGAGGUCCCCAAGUCAAAGGGAUCAGGGUCCAGUAAACAGGCUUCAGGGGGAAGCACAUCAGUUGUGACUGCAGAGAAGAGGCUACAAAUGAUGAAGAAGAAAGCAGCUGUCAAGAUUCAAGAAAAAAGAGCUUCUUUGAAGUGAUUUCUUUUAUAUACAAUAAAAAUAUAUUUGACAUUUACCGGUAUAUAUAUACCGGUACUACACAGACAGUGACAGACCACAUACAGAAACUUGCACAAAUUACCGUACUGAUACUAAUAUAUAUGUCCAAUCCAUAUUUUUUUUUUUAUGAAAAUUUACAUUCUAUCUUGAUGUAAAAAUAAAAGGAUCAGAGAA
rnacentral:misc_RNA from 1 species